ensembl:lncRNA
UACUAUGUCACAUUUCAGUGUAGAACAAUAUGAGGGAAAAAUUCUGUUUUUAAAUCUGAAGGAGGAAAACAACUCUGAAUGUUUGCAUUUGCUUAUUUUCCUUUCCAAAUAAAUGUAAUAGCAAAAACUAUCUGUCAGCACAAUAGUCAGAAGGCAGAAAAAUGCUGCUAUCCUCAGGCUCCAAUAACUCCCUAGCAAUGUAAAAUACGUUACAUGGCACAGCGUGUCUAGUCCCUGGGAACUGAAUGUGGUAAUCCAAUAGGAAGGCCUUUACCCUGCUAUGGAAUUUGCUGUGCUUUUUAGAGGAUAAUCAUUAAUGGGUUUUCAUAGCAACAGAUCUCCCAAACUGCCCCAGUCCCUCUCCAAACAGUGCUGUCAAGCCUCUCAAGCAGUACACAUUCCUCGGUUUGAUAUUAGAGCCAAUAUCCUUAUAGCACAGGUGUCUAAGAAUGCACACGGACUUUGAAUGGCACUAAAGACUUAGGAGCAGACCCAAGAACACGAGAGACAGAUAUGGUUGAGGGGCAACAUUUUCCAGCUGCUUUUCAGGUACUGCCAGCCAGCUGCAUCUUGUCUUGUCCUGGCAUUGCUGCCACCCAGCUUGUUUCCUGUUAGAGCUAACUUUCUUUGGGAUAUAGAGCAUAUUAACUACAGAGAUCUUAAAACACAGCUUCCACCCAUAGCAUGUGGGAACAAAACCAAACCUCAGCUUCUGUUUUUGCACAGUGACGACUCUGACUCCCUUCAUCUGAAAAAUCCCUUCAGGAAAAUGAAGCAUUAAUCCUGUACUUCUAUGGCAGACUCUAACUCUCUUCCCUCAUAGCAGGAAGCCUUGUUAGGAUCAAUCUGAGUCACAGCUGCUCUGAAUUCCAAAGGGUGAGAUCUGUUGGGCUGUUGUAAAUUACUCUCUUCACAGAGGGCAAGAGGCUGUAAGUGGCACAGGUGUGCCACCACUUAACCACCCUCACCACAGGCUGCGGCUCUUGGGAGAGCUGGCUAGCAAUGUAGUCAAGGGAAAAAAUAAAAGGAGGAAGACUUCUCUUUGCUAAGGGCACAUCAGCAAGCCUUGCAAGUGCCAGAGUUUUUGUAUCUCGCCAAGGAGUACAGCAGGCAAGCAUUCCCUUUGAAUGAAAUGUCUACUGCCUGAGCAAUCUGAGUGCAAACCGGAGCCUAAGUCCUUCUCCUUUGCUCCCUCAUACUGAAGGAGGUGCUGCUGGGAGCUGGUGCUGCACAAGCAAGUUCUGAGCAUGUUUGCUGUUCUUCCUGUGAGUUGCAGCCCGUGUGGCCCAUAGCGAGUUAAACCUCUGAAUCUCUACUGUGCUGCACCACUCCAUGUCUGCCUGUCCUUCAGGUCAAAGGCUUUUGUCCUGCUGUGGGAGGAGGCUAAACACUGCGGGCAGUACUGGCAGUUGCAGGUGCGAUUCUUCGCUAAACAACAGAUACAGCGUGGCAAGUGUUGAUAGAUAUUAACAUCAGUGCAGGUGUAGAACUUACACCAUAUGCAGAACCAGCACUUUCUUGCAGUCCCUGGGCUGAUGGGGAAACCCCUCUGUCUCAAAGCAAGCCACAUGUGAGGGUUUUGAACCAGCAUGCUCAAUAGAGACCUGUGAUAUCCACAUCUAAAUCUGCUCUGGUUACGCUCAGUACUCAAUUAGCAUGCUUCCACUUGGGUGUUUAUGAUUUUUGGUGCAUCGGUUGUUCCUUCUAUACUGCUGAAUCAGUAAGGCUGCCUGGCUGUUGCCACAGUGGAAGGUGUAUUUAAUUCAGUGACUGUGCUGUGACAUACAAAGAGGUGUUGUUUCUGAGAGCUCUUCUAGUCAUGGAUUCUGAAGAACUACAACCAGAAAGCUGUUAGUUUCAAACGCUUUGCAUAUCCCUAGCUUGCUCUUACAGAUUUCCGUAACCACCAGGAAUGCUGGAUGCCAGGGAGGAUGCAGAACCCAAGGAAAUCAAAAGGAGCCAUGAGUGUACUCUACAGGGCAAUGGCAGUAUUUGCCAGCUAUGGCUGCAAUACGUAUACACGGAAAGGAGAAAGUACAUGAAGUUCUACUUAAGGUUUUCCUAUGAGCUUCUACGGUUUUCUCUGGGAGCAUCACGAAGAGUUAGGCAACUCCAGAUUGAAAGACCCUGGCCUCAAGGGCUGAAGAAUAGAGCUACAUUGUAACAUCCUGAUACUUGCUGACAAUUUUCUCCCUUAAUAAAACGUUGCCGCUGUCCUCUCCAUUUAUAGCAUCAAAGAGAACCCUUCUAACCUCCUAAAUCCUGUUUUAGUGUCGUAGGCUACAGAUUAUUAGCCAAAGCACAACUGCAUUUGAUGUAGUUAUAUCAGGAAGAAACAUAAGUAACAUUUAUAAUGCAGAAAUACUUAAAAAAAUUUAUUAAAAUUUAUUAAAAUAUGUUUAAAAUUAAAAUUUAAAGCAUUUAAACUUCUGUGUGAGCUCCGAGGCAGCUCUGUCUUUGUGUAUUACUGAAUACGAAAUGCUGAGAGGAAUUGAUGUGGCGGUCUCCUUUUUCUCUAGUUACCCUCCUGCAGCACAGCGCAGCCCGCUGCCCCUACAGGACAGCCUGCUUCAUGACGUUGUCCCUCAAGAUCUCAUUCCACUGUUAAUUUUUUUGUUGUUGUUGUUAGAAUAAAACACCUUGAAGUCCUGCUCUGACUUACUGCCUUCCUGACUUUGCCCUGCAACUCCGAGUAACA